CCUACGGGAGGCACCAGUAGGGAAUCUUCGGCAAUGGACGAAAGUCUGACCGAGCAACGCCGCGUGAGUGAAGAAGGUUUUCGGAUCGUAAAACUCUGUUGUUAGAGAAGAACAAGGACGUUAGUAACUGAACGUCCCCUGACGGUAUCUAACCAGAAAGCCACGGCUAACUACGUGCCAGCAGCCGCGGUAAUACGUAGGUGGCGAGCGUUGUCCGGAUUUAUUGGGCGUAAAGCGAGCGCAGGCGGUUUCUUAAGUCUGAUGUGAAAGCCCCCGGCUCAACCGGGGAGGGUCAUUGGAAACUGGGAGACUUGAGUGCAGAAGAGGAGAGUGGAAUUCCAUGUGUAGCGGUGAAAUGCGUAGAUAUAUGGAGGAACACCAGUGGCGAAGGCGGCUCUCUGGUCUGUAACUGACGCUGAGGCUCGAAAGCGUGGGGAGCAAACAGGAUUAGAUACCCGCGUAG
rnacentral:rRNA from 1 species